rnacentral:tRNA from 1 species
UGAAAGCUAGUGAUUUUCACGAAUGAAUUUGGAUCAUUAAAUGGAGUUAACAUUCCGCUUUCAC